UACGGCCUCAUCACGUUGAAACACCACAUUUCGUAGGAUCGCCGAAGUUAAGCAACAUUGAGCUUGGUCAGUACCUAGAUGGGUGACCGUUAGGGCAUUCCAGGUGUUAUAA